GGACAGCUGACGAGUCCCAAAUAGGACGAAGCAGCUGUCCAGUGC
rnacentral:hammerhead_ribozyme from 1 species